CGAAACCAGGUGAUCUACCCUUGGUCAGGUUGAAGUUCAGGUAACACUGAAUGGAGGACCGAACCGACUUACGUUGAAAAGUGAGCGGAUGAACUGAGGGUAGCGGAGAAAUUCCAAUCGAACCUGGAGAUAGCUGGUUCUCUCCGAAAUAGCUUUAGGGCUAGCCUCAAGUGAUGAUUAUUGGAGGUAGAGCACUGUUUGGACGAGGGGCCCCUCUCGGGUUACCGAAUUCAGACAAACUCCGAAUGCCAAUUAAUUUAACUUGGGAGUCAGAACAUGGGUGAUAAGGUCCGUGUUCGAAAGGGAAACAGCCCAGACCACCAGCUAAGGUCCCAAAAUAUAUGUUAAGUGGAAAAGGAUGUGGCGUUGCCCAGACAACUAGGAUGUUGGCUUAGAAGCAGCCAUCAUUUAAAGAGUGCGUAAUAGCUCACUAGUCGAGUGACACUGCGCCGAAAAUGUACCGGGGCUAAACAUAUUACCGAAGCUGUGGAUUGUCCUUUGGACAAUGGUAGGAGAGCGUUCUAAGGGCGUUGAAGCAUGAUCGUAAGGACAUGUGGAGCGCUUAGAAGUGAGAAUGCCGGUGUGAGUAGCGAAAGACGGGUGAGAAUCCCGUCCACCGAUUGACUAAGGUUUCCAGAGGAAGGCUCGUCCGCUCUGGGUUAGUCGGGUCCUAAGCUGAGGCCGACAGGCGUAGGCGAUGGAUAACAGGUUGAUAUUCCUGUACCACCUAUAAUCGUUUUAAUCGAUGGGGGGACGCAGUAGGAUAGGCGAAGCGUGCGAUUGGAUUGCACGUCUAAGCAGUAAGGCUGAGUAUUAGGCAAAUCCGGUACUCAUUAAGGCUGAGCUGUGAUGGGGAGAAGACAUUGUGUCUUCGAGUCGUUGAUUUCACACUGCCGAGAAAAGCCUCUAGAUAGAAAAUAGGUGCCCGUACCGCAAACCGACACAGGUAGUCAAGAUGAGAAUUCUAAGGUGAGCGAGCGAACUCUCGUUAAGGAACUCGGCAAAAUGACCCCGUAACUUCGGGAGAAGGGGUGCUCUUUAGGGUUAACGCCCAGAAGAGCCGCAGUGAAUAGGCCCAAGCGACUGUUUAUCAAAAACACAGGUCUCUGCUAAACCGUAAGGUGAUGUAUAGGGGCUGACGCCUGCCCGGUGCUGGAAGGUUAAGAGGAGUGGUUAGCUUCUGCGAAGCUACGAAUCGAAGCCCCAGUAAACGGCGGCCGUAACUAUAACGGUCCUAAGGUAGCGAAAUUCCUUGUCGGGUAAGUUCCGACCCGCACGAAAGGCGUAACGAUUUGGGCACUGUCUCAACGAGAGACUCGGUGAAAUCAUAGUACCUGUGAAGAUGCAGGUUACCCGCGACAGGACGGAAAGACCCCGUGGAGCUUUACUGUAGCCUGAUAUUGAAAUUCGGCACAG
rnacentral:rRNA from 1 species